rnacentral:misc_RNA from 1 species
CCGCAACAAUCAUCUUUUCCGGAUCGGUCGAAUUGGCCUUGAUGAGAAUAGCAGCCGCCGCCUUGAUCGUCUGAUAGCCAACGAUGGAGCCCAGUCUCGGANUCAUUGAACUUGCCCUGAUAGGCUUUCAGGAACGCAUCGUGCUCCGGUGUCUUGAUGCUGUACCAAGGAUAACCGGUGACGAUCCAGCCCGAUGGCGUUUCCUCCUUCAGCGGGUCGAGAUAUUCCGGCUCGCCGGUGAGGAAGCUUACCACCGCACGAUCC